rnacentral:lncRNA from 1 species
AUAUAUAGGUGAAAUUUGGAUAGUGUAUUAUUGUAUUGAUUGUAAAUGUAUAUGCAAAUUUUGAGAUCAAUAAAAUAGUUAGAUUGAAGUAUAUGAGGAUUUUUGUGGAUUGAGAUCUCAAAAAUUGGAAUUUGAGGGUCAGUGAAUAUUUCUAAGAUCUUUAGGAAUUUGUAACUUGAAUUAAAGUGAUUUUUUUAUGUGGAUAUUAGACUCAAUUUUCAAUAUUUGAAUGUAAUUUGAAAGCAAUUUGAAAGCAAUUUAACAUUUCAAAAAAGAGAUGUAGGCACUGGAAGUUUAGUAUUCAAGUUGGAAAACAAGGCUGCCUAAUACCUCAUUAGACUAUCUUGCAUUUCUCUCAAUUGGUAAGUGUAAUUGAUUUCAUCUUUCUUGUGCUUAUUUCUAACUAAGAUAUUAAGAAGAAUGCAAAUUUUGAGUUGAUAUCAAGAGUUUGAUCAUUAAUUAUUGAGGUUCCAUUUUGCUAAAAGAUUUGUUAAGAGUUUGUUUAAGAUUUAGGAUUUGAUCUAGGAUUUGAUUAGGAUUUGGUUUAUGAUUUGUCUAUGGUUUGUUUAGGACUUAAGAUUUUAUCUAGAAUGUGUUUAGGAUUAGGAUUUGGUUUAGAACUUGAUUAAGAUUUGAAUUAGGAUUUGAUUUAGAACUUGAGUAGGAUUUAACUUAGGAUUUGAUUAAGAUUCUAUUAGGAUUUUAAUAAGAGUUUAACAUAAUAUUUUAUUAAUAUUUAUAAAGAUUUUAAUUAAGAUUAAAUUAAAGUUUAAUUAGAAUUUUAUU